AUAUAUAAGUUAUAAAGCCAGGUAAAAAUAAUAUAAAAUCAACAAACACUUACAAAUUAAAGCCUGUUUUCAGAUCGUUCCUUCAAUUUUCUCUGUCGAAGUUAGUGUGGAGAAGGUAAACGAAUCUGAUGUAUAGGUAACUAAACAAAGUGUAAAGAUGUGAACAAAUUAAAUGUGAAACUAGUGUACAUUACAUUUAACCAAAGGUAAACAUGUUUACUGUACACGGCGUUUGGUGUUAACACGGCCUUAGUCUGGUGUAGCAUGGCAGAUCUAAAAUAUACAUCAAAUGAUAUAUAAGUUAUCAAGCCAGAUAAAAAUAAUAUAGAAUUUCAGAUCGUUCCUUCAAUUUUCUCUGUCGAAGUUUGUGUGGAGAAGGUAAACUACUUUACCUUGGUUAUUUACUUUGCUAGAAAAAAGUACUGACCAAUUUUUUCUGCUUUUGUUUGAAUUUGAAACUAUUCUAUUAUGCA
rnacentral:lncRNA from 1 species